CGGCCGGUGGUGUCGUCGUUGGGGAUCGAUUUCGAGCUGCUCUGCCAUGGACUUGCUGCUGCCCAUCCCAACUUGGUGCCGGCGUCAGCAAGCACCUCCUCCCUCGGAUGCCGCCCCGGCUAAUUCAGCCCAGAUGUAUGCACUUUCCUCUUGGUUACUGAUUUGCUGGCAACGACAUCGAGCUCCCGACUACGGCCAUGCUAUAUGUCGACUUGAAGCUACUGUACUCUGUUCGUCACAAGCCCAUUGCUUCCACCGGCCCACCCUGUGUGUCUUCCCUGGUCACAAUGGAUAGCGAACAGCCAGGACUAAUUGAUGUCGGACGCUCCCUCUCCUAAUACUAAUGUUCCAGCCGCUCCACUUCCUCUCCCCACCAUCUCUAGAAGAAACUGAUGGAUUGCUCUUUAAAGUCUGUCUGGCCUCACCUCAUUUCCUUCCCAUCAGGUCUGUACCACACCACUCAUACCACCUCCGGUACUGCGUGCUCAAUGAUGCCCAAGUAGUCAUCUUCAUUGGGUUUCCCUCACUGCAAACACAGGCUCAUUUGGUUUCUGCCUCCUAAAGGCCUCCUGACAUGGAUAACGCAGAAAGUUCUUCGCGUUAUCCAACUGGGCAUGGGGUUGGUCAUCCACGAGAAGUUUCACGUGGACGUGGACGGCCACGUCGUACGUCAUUACCCGAUCCUUCUCCUCGAGCAAGCCCAUAUGUUCCUGCCGAUAACCGUCGCACACGUAUGGCUAGAAACAGGAACAGAGGUCUGGAGCAAAACGAAGAAUAGACUUUACCGAGGAUGAUGCCAACAAAUCUAUCAGAUCAAAGGAACAUGAACAUAGUCCUUCCAAAGAAUACAAGAAAGACAAAACAGACAACAAAGAUCCAACAACCAAUUAUGGAUAGCACGAGUAAGCCAAACAUGCAUACCAUAUAGAAGUUAACAUAUGGACGAGACAAUCAAACAGGAAGGGUCUUGCUAUUCAUGGCAGAUGUUAACAUGUGGAGGAGACAAUCAUACAGGAAGGAUCUUCAUUACUGGAUAAUGCUUGAAUGCACCGAGUUUCUCUUUGUCUUUUCUCCUUUCCCCCCUUGAACCACCAGAGUACCCAUUGCUCAACGUGUAUGAGUGUACGAGGGUACUUUUAGUGAUAAAUCUAUAAAUACCAAACUGGGUUUGUACUACACUUUGAAUGUUAACAUGAGGAUAUCUAUUAUAAUGUCAUCUCUGUUUUUUCCUGCUACAGAGUAUGUAUCUCUUCAAAACUCUCAUAAACUGCAGAAAAUGCCGCCCAGGCUAGCCUUCACCGCUUAGAAAGUUUUAGAUUUUAUAUACCAACCCCCAAUUAUUUUCUUUGCUAGGAAUCCAACCAACAAUUACCAUGCCCAAAUCUUACAUGCAUGUGCGAUAUUAAUACGUACAUUAACCUGCUAAUUAAAACCCCAAUAUAAAUACCAUCUAUAACUUUAUAUAUAUUCACUGUUAUAUUUGUUGUGUAUUAACUAUUUUAAAAGCAAUAUCUUUCAGUUACACGUUUUAUGACUACCACACAUCUCUAUUUACGAACAACUAUACCAUUUUCCAUUGUAUCCCUACAACUAAAUAUUGGCUUUUGCAAGUACAUGGACAACCAGAAGGAAGUUGGCUAACAGCAUGCGAUCUGAUGCACCAAGAAAAGUUCUGCCACCUUCAGCAACACAUCCAACAAGAGAAGCACACAAAAGGUACAUAGAGGCUAUUACAAACAUGAAGAAUGCUAUGAAACUGACAAUAACUAGCGCCUCUUUUCAAGACGACACCACAAAGAAUCAUUCAUUGAAGGUUGGC